GGUUUCGUUACUUAUCCGGCCUCUUUCUUAUUUCAGGGGUAUGACACUAACAGAUAGGGAAUCUCAACUAGUAAGCACAUCCACGGAGGUAGAGAGAGAAGGGUGUCGGCUCAGUUUAUAUACAAUUCAGAUAAUAUCAAAGCAGUAACAAUUAGCACACUAAGCACAAAGCAUGUAGGAAAAUCAGAUAUAACAAAAUACAAGAUUUAUUUAAGCUCGAAUUCUGAACCCUGAACAAAACGUUCUUGGUUCUUUUCCCCAGCAGAAUCGUCAGAGCUGUCACACCUCCUUUUUUCACACCUUACCUCGAAGGAUAAAUGUAUAAGGGAAUUUUUUCAUUUAAAGUGACAUUAUUCGGAUCGGAAUUAUUUAUUUAUUCAAAGUCGCACUUGGGAAAGGAUUAGCUUUUGGUGUUCCAAGUCACCGAUUUUUCUUGAAUCCCGAACCAAGGAAAAUUUCGACUUCCUAUUGGAGUCUGCGAACCAUAAAUUCUGAAUAAGGAAUUCUGUUGACCCGAGGGAAGGUGUUAGGCACCCGGAUCCCGUGGUUCUAGCACGGUCACUUAAAUUAUUGUAUUUCAUUAAAACUUGAUUAUAAAACAUGCUAACUUAUACCCCUUUUAUUUAUAAACCGCUUUUAUCUUUAUUUAUUUUUUAAAAAGACUUGUGACGUCGUGAAAACGCGUCUCUGACCACGUUGCCAUCAAGGCACACGUAGUCAUUGACACAUUCGACUUCAUCGAGAUCUGGAUUUGGGUCGCAAUCAAUGUACACCCGAGUUUAAAAAAGUAAUUUAAUUAAAACGCGCUUAAAGGUUCUAACGUAAUAUUAAUUGGGAAACGCCGUUGAGAUUUUCUAGACGGCCCAUCCAAAUUCUAACCGUUUUUAUUAAUCAAUUAUUAAGGGCCCCACAUUUAUUCUUGUUCGGAGAGGCUCGUCUCCAUUUUUUAACUAUUUUUUAUCACUAUUUAUUUUAUAAGAAUUGCGACUUCAUAAAAACGUGUUUCUAGCCCCGUCGCCAUCAAGGCACCCGUGGUUAUCAAAACAUUUUGAAUUCGCCGAGAUUUGGAUUUGGGUUGCAUCAAUGCACACCUGAAUUUAGGAAGUAAUUUAAUUAAAACGCGCCUAAAGAUUCUAUCGCAAUAUUAUUUUGGAGAAACCCGUGAAAUUUGCUAAACGACCCUGCCGAAUUCUAAGUAUUUCUAAACCUUUAUUAAGGGCCCCGCAAUUUGUGCUUUUGUUGGCGAGGCUCGUCACAAUCCAUUUUUAGAGGCCAAUCUAAAAGUAACUAUGUUGUCUAUUCAAUAUCAUAUCUAGACUGGAGAGAAAAGGCUUAAUUGGUCUUACUCAAACUAAAUAAGGAAUUAAAACUAAAAGAUGACAUAAAAUUUUAGCCAGCAAGCAAAUUGGCCUACUGCAACCUUGGCCCAGUCCCAAUUGACUGCCCCCAUUAAUUGGUUCCAACGGUCGAACCCAAUGGAAAUGUGGAGCCCAAUUAACAUUCUUUCUAUUCAUUAUAGCAAAGUGCACAAAUCCCCUCAUAUCAGAUGUCGAGUUUACUUUCAAGCAUCAACUUCACACAAAUAUGAGAGGCAAAACAACUUAUCAAAUUCUGUUAUCAAUCAAACAAAGUGUGAAUAAGCCAAAAUAACACCAAUUCCAAUUAAUCAACACCUAACUAACAGGUAUCACUGGAACGAAUAUGCAAGCACACGACCUCUCUUAAACUCGCCAGGAAUUAAUAAUAUUCAGUCAAAUUGGCAGGACAUUAACUAUAACUAGUAUUCAAACUAACAACUUCUGCACAUCCUUAAACAUAUGAACACACACAUAAUAAAUCAAAUAAACCAAACCCUACUCAACAAUUACAGUCUGAUUUACACAUUUAUACAGGGUUAUUUCACAUAUGGAAACCAAACAGAUAUCAAAUGGAUUCAGCAGCCAAUUUGAACAUAUUUCUUCCAUUGAUCUUCAAAUCAAAUUAUACAAAUCCUUCAUAUUUCAUAAAAGGCCAAGGAGAAUACCUGGAAAAUGAAGUAGGAGGCAGAAAAAUGAGAUUAGCAGCAGCAAAGCAACAGAGGCGAUCACAGGCAAGCCAAAACAAGUUCAGGAGUUCAAAUGUGUUUGAGAAAAUUCACACAAAAGCAACAAAUCCAAUCGCAGCCUUAAAUUACACCAAAUUGAGCCCAGGACUGCUUGACAAUAGAUUAUACCCCAGCAGCCAACCAAACCACACUAUUGGACCAAGUUCUAGUCAAAAUCAACCAUAGUGCUUCAAACUCGAACUAAACCAGAUUUAAGAGAUUCUCAAGCCAUUUCCAACGAACCUCCUGUUAAUUAUAAUUUGAUCUAGAGCUAAAUUUCAAGUGUAAAUUCUAAGGAGUUUCUAAUGAAACAGUGGUAUGUUUUUUGAAUUUUUGAUGGUUUUCUAUUGUUUUUGGGGUUUUGAAGUUUGGAUUUCAGACCUUAGAUCUGAAACUGGAAAGCACACCUUUUGGGGAGUUUUUGGGUUGCCUCAAUCUUGUUAAAGAAAACAUUAGAGGUACCUUUUAUAGGUUAAAUUGAGGGCAGCCCUGAAAACUCUUAUUUACCCUAUUGGUCCCUCUUUAUUUCCAUACUAAUCCUCAUAUUUCUGACUUGUUACUCAAGUAAGUGCAUUACAAUUACUAAAAAUACACUAAAGUCCUAGUUUGGAAGGUUCUAGGGUGUUCUUUUAGCUACAAAAUACAUUUAGUACCCUUGAACCUUCCUUGUAAUUACUAUUCCUCAAUAUACUACCCUUUUCCAUGCCCAAAUUGCCCUUGGCCAGCCCCUAAAAUUACUAGCUAAUCCAACCUCAGCCCUUUUUUUGCCCUAGUUAAACUAUCAGCUAUAAACCAACUCUAGUUAAUUACCAUGAUAAUGAACAAUGACAUGAGGAAAACUAAAACUAAACCCAAUUGACCAACCAAAUAGAAUUUCCCAAAACAACAAAAUUCAAUUCAAUAAUCAACAAACGAACCAACAGUAAUCCAAACGUAAACGAUUUUAACAAUCUACCCUAAGUUUACAUUCUUAGCCAAACAAACCCAAUGACGCCAAAUAAAAUGAACUAAUCUAAAUGAAUAAAAAGAAAGGAACUGGAAUGCAACAACAAGAAUAAAACCGAGCGAAGCAGAUUUUAACAGAAAGAGAGAGGGGGUACCAUUUGAAUGGAAUUGAAUCGACGACUUGAAGCGAACCUCGAGCGAGGCAAACAAUCGAGGAAUUACGAACUAAUUGGCUGAUAAAUUCGGACCCUAAACAAAUGUUACUCGGGUUAUUCUUGUGAGAACGACCCAUUUAACACUCGUUCCUAGCCCGAAAUGUCUUCAAACUCGAAGGGCAAACACACUGAACCUUAGCGAAUGAGACAGAGGUGAAGACAGAAUUAAAAUUCCGGAUUCUGAUUCAAGAAUCGAGAAACUAUGAUGGAUUCAAAGGGAACCAUGUUGAGACUUAGCGAGAGGAGAGUGAGAGGGUUGUUUGGUGUUGAUUUGGGGCUGGUCAGAAGUAACGCCGCCGGCGAUAAUGGAGGACUUUAGGGUUAGGUGAUGGAGAAGACGGGAGGUACGAGGAUGAAUGGUUUGUCUCUAAGUUACUAUGCACAUUCAGGCAAUUAUAUGUAAAAUUCAAAAACCAAU
rnacentral:lncRNA from 1 species